CGAUAAGGAGCUUGCUCCUUUGAAGUUAGCGGCGGACGGGUGAGUAACACGUGGGUAACCUACCUAUAAGACUGGGAUAACUUCGGGAAACCGGAGCUAAUACCGGAUAACAUUUAGAACCGCAUGGUUCUAAAGUGAAAGAUGGUUUUGCUAUCACUUAUAGAUGGACCCGCGCCGUAUUAGCUAGUUGGUAAGGUAACGGCUUACCAAGGCGACGAUACGUAGCCGACCUGAGAGGGUGAUCGGCCACACUGGAACUGAGACACGGUCCAGACUCCUACGGGAGGCAGCAGUAGGGAAUCUUCCGCAAUGGGCGAAAGCCUGACGGAGCAACGCCGCGUGAGUGAUGAAGGGUUUCGGCUCGUAAAACUCUGUUAUUAGGGAAGAACAAAUGUGUAAGUAACUGUGCACAUCUUGACGGUACCUAAUCAGAAAGCCACGGCUAACUACGUGCCAGCAGCCGCGGUAAUACGUAGGUGGCAAGCGUUAUCCGGAAUUAUUGGGCGUAAAGCGCGCGUAGGCGGUUUCUUAAGUCUGAUGUGAAAGCCCACGGCUCAACCGUGGAGGGUCAUUGGAAACUGGGAAACUUGAGUGCAGAAGAGGAAAGUGGAAUUCCAUGUGUAGCGGUGAAAUGCGCAGAGAUAUGGAGGAACACCAGUGGCGAAGGCGACUUUCUGGUCUGUAACUGACGCUGAUGUGCGAAAGCGUGGGGAUCAAACAGGAUUAGAUACCCUGGUAGUCCACGCCGUAAACGAUGAGUGCUAAGUGUUAGGGGGUUUCCGCCCCUUAGUGCUGCAGCUUAACGCAUUAAGCACUCCGCCUGGGGGAGUACGACCCGCAGGGUUGAAACCUCAAAGGGAAUUUGACGGGGGAACCCCCCACAAGGCCGGUUGGAACCAUGUGGUUUUAAAUUCGGAAAGCGAACUCGGAAAAAAACCCUU
rnacentral:rRNA from 1 species